rnacentral:tmRNA from 1 species
GGGGCUGACCGGUUUUGACAGCAAAGUUCUUUGUACGAGUAAGCAUGCGGUGCGUUGGAUAAUUAGCACCUUAAUCUGAAUAUUCAACAAUUUAAAUGGCAAUACACAGUAUGCCAUGGCUGCCUAAUCAGUGAUUAGUUAGUCAUUUGGGCCGCCGUCCGGGUCUGUCUGUUACCGAGGGCCGCCGCCGACUUAAAAAGAAAACGGAAUGCUGUUAUGCAAGGCUGUGCGCAUAACAUAAGACCUAUACAGCUAAGGAAUACAUUGGUAUGUUGAUGUCCGGUUUGUUCCCGACAAUUAAUCAUCAAAUAAGCAUGUAGAAGGCGUAUGGCGGAUUUGUUUGGACCAGGGUUCGACUCCCUGCAGCUCCACAA